rnacentral:rRNA from 1 species
UCGUAACAAGGUUUCCGUAGGUGAACCUGCGGAAGGACCAUUACCGAGUGAGGGCCCUCUGGGUCCAACCUCCCACCCGUGUUUAUUAUACCUUGUUGCUUCGGCGGGCCCGCCGUAUGGCCGCCGGGGGGCUUCUGCCCCCGGGCCCGUGCCCGCCGAAGACACCUAGAACUCUGUCUGAAGAUUGUAGUCUGAGUGAAAAUAUAAAUUAUUUAAAACUUUCAACAGCGGAUCUCUUGGUUCCGGCAUCGAUGAAGAACGCAGCGAAAUGCGAUACGUAAUGUGAAUUGCAGAAUUCAGUGAAUCAUCGAGUCUUUGAACGCACAUUGCGCCCUCUGGUAUUCCGGAGGGCAUGCCUGUCCGAGCGUCAUUGCUGCCCUCAAGCACGGCUUGUGUGUUGGGCCCCGCCCCCCGAUCCCGGGGGGCGGGCCCGAAAGGCAGCGGCGGCACCGCGUCCGGUCCUCGAGCGUAUGGGGCUUUGUCACCCGCUCUGUAGGCCCGGCCGGCGCUUGCCGAUCAACCAAACUUUUUUCCAGGUUGACCUCGGAUCAGGUAGGGAUACCCGCUGAACUUA